rnacentral:rRNA from 1 species
CCUACGGGACGCAGCAGUGGGGAAUAUUGCACAAUGGGGGAAACCCUGAUGCAGCGACGCCGCGUGAGUGAAGAAGUAUUUCGGUAUGUAAAGCUCCAUCAGCAGGGAAGAAAAUGACGGUACCUGACUAAGAAGCCCCGGCUAACUACGUGCCAGCAGCCGCGGUAAUACGAAGGGGGCAAGCGUUAUCCGGAUUUACUGGGUGUAAAGGGAGCGUAGACGGCAGAGCAAGGCCGGAGUGAAAGCCCGGGGCCCAACCCCGGGACUGCUCUGGAAACUGUUCAGCUAGAGUGCGGGCGGGGCAG